CACGCGGCGGCCCGCGCCCCAGGCACCCUGCCGCUUACUACCCCGGCGUCCUGGGCGGCGGGAGAUAGGGCUGGGCUGUCAACUCGGGCGUCCCACCACCUGCUCUCCUGCUCUCUCGCGGAUUCAUUACCUAGGUGAGAAACCUCAGACAUCCCUCAGACACUGCUCUCCCAACCCUGGUCUGCUCUCCAACAGCGAAGCCUGGUGUGCAGCAAAAGAAGAGCUGUUCAAGUGUGUGCUUCUUACAGAAGGCAGAAGAUGCAUUAUUGUCCUUCCUUGGUCAGACCUGCUUGUCCAUCUGUUUUGCCACCAUGCAUGGAACAAUGAGAUCCUCACCAAAAGCUGAGAAGAUACCAGCACUAUGUCCUUGGACUUUCCAGCCUUCAACCAGAACUGUAAGCUAAAUAAACUAUUUUUCUAUAAUUAA